AUUCACAGGACGAACCGAGCAUUGUGAAAUGAGGCGGUCCAGCGUACAGAGGACUGAACUUGUCACCUAGCAACAGUGACAGCUGUCGUCAAUAAGCAGCAGUAAAAACCGUUCUUCAUUGGACUCGAACCCUAUCUUUGUGGUCAUCUCCUCUCUGCGUCUCAAGUCCACAGACGUACAUGACGAGCUAACAGGACAAACUGGUCACAGCCAGAAAGCCGUCCAUACGGAGAGAAAUGAGCAGCUGAAUCUGUGAUGUAAUCUCCUGAAGGUUCAGCAGGGGUGAAGAUGCUGGAUGUAAAUAUCUGAGCUGCCCUGUUCACUCCACAGAGAAGAGCAGGUUUACAGUACACACAAAACCAAUAACCCAUGCAAGUAAACUCUGUUUCUUUGACUUUAUCUGUGAA